GUCUCGGUAGUGUAAGGGCUAAAAGCACGGUCCCGGAAAGGACAAGUGCGGGUUCGAGUCCCGUCCGAGACU
rfam:Haemonchus contortus, ISE/inbred ISE, WGS project CAVP01000000 data, contig: Hcontortus_35997